rnacentral:rRNA from 1 species
GACGAACGCUGGCGGCGUGCCUAACACAUGCAAGUCGAGCGAUGAAAAUACAAAUGAUUCCUUCGGGGAGAAUGCGUGUUGGAUUAGCGGCGGACGGGUGAGUAACACGUGAGCAACCUGCCUAUCACAUUGGGAUAGCCUCGGGAAACUGGGAUUAAUACCGAAUGAAACAUAGAAUUAGCAUUAAUUCAAUGUCAAAGAUUUAUCGGUGAUAGAUGGGCUCGCGUCUGAUUAGCUAGUUGGUGAGGUAACGGCUCACCAAGGCGACGAUCAGUAGCCGGCCUGAGAGGGUGAACGGCCACAUUGGGACUGAGACACGGCCCAAACUCCUACGGGAGGCAGCAGUGGGGAAUAUUGCACAAUGGAGGGAACUCUGAUGCAGCGACGCCGCGUGAGCGAAGAAGGCUUUCGAGUCGUAAAGCUCUGUCCUAUGGGAAGAUAAUGACGGUACCAUAGGAGGAAGCCCCGGCUAACUACGUGCCAGCAGCCGCGGUAAUACGUAGGGGGCGAGCGUUGUCCGGAAUUAUUGGGCGUAAAGGGUUCGUAGGCGGCAAUGUAUGUCAGGUGUGAAAGACGGUGGCUCAACCAACGCAAGCAUCUGAAACUGCAUAGCUUGAGAAAAGGAGAGGUAAGUGGAAUUCCUAGUGUAGCGGUGAAAUGCGUAGAUAUUAGGAGGAAUACCAGUGGCGAAGGCGACUUACUGGACUUUAACUGACGCUGAUGAACGAAAGCGUGGGGAGCAAACAGGAUUAGAUACCCUGGUAGUCCACGCCGUAAACGAUGAGUGCUAGGUGUCGGGAGUCAAAUCUCGGUGCCGAAGUUAACACAUUAAGCACUCCGCCUGGGGAGUACGUGCGCAAGCAUGAAACUCAAAGGAAUUGACGGGGACCCGCACAAGCAGCGGAGCAUGUGGUUUAAUUCGAAGCAACGCGAAAGAACCUUACCAGGGCUUGACAUAUGUGGGAAUAUGUUAGAGAUAGCAUAGUCUUUUCGAAGACUCACAUACAGGUGGUGCAUGGUUGUCGUCAGCUCGUGUCGUGAGAUGUUGGGUUAAGUCCCGCAACGAGCGCAACCCUUAUCAAUAGUUGCCAGCGAGUAAAGUCGGGAACUCUAGAGAGACUGCCGAUGAUAAAUCGGAGGAAGGUGGGGAUGACGUCAAAUCAUCAUGCCCUAUAUGUCCUGGGCUACACACGUGCUACAAUGGUCGGUACAGAGGGGAGCGAAAGAGUGAUCUGGAGCAAAUCUCAAAAAGCCGAUCCCAGUUCGGAUUGUAGGCUGCAACUCGCCUACAUGAAGUUGGAGUUGCUAGUAAUCGCGAAUCAGAAUGCCGCGGUGAAUGCGUUCCCGGGUCUUGUACACACCGCCCGUCACACCAUGGGAGUUCGGGGGGCCCAAAGUCAGUGAUCCAACCAGCAAUGGAGGAAGCUGCCUAAGGCAAAACGAAUGACUGGGGUG